rnacentral:rRNA from 1 species
UACAGAGGUGGCAAGCGUUGUCCGGAUUUAUUGGGCGUAAAGCGCGCGUAGGCGGCUUUGCAAGUCGGGUGUGAAAUCCCUCAGCUUAACUGAGGAAGUGCGCUCGAAACUGCAGAGCUUGAAUGCCAAAGAGGAUGGCGGAAUUCCCCAAGUAGAGGUGAAAUUCGUAGAUAUGGGGAGGAACACCGGUGGCGAAGGCGGCCAUCUGGGUGGUGAUUGACGCUGAGGCGCGAAAGCGUGGGUAUCAAACAGG